UGCAUGGUAGCCGAGUGGGUAAAGCACUUAUUGCUAUUUACUCGGUACCCAAUAUUGAUGGUUCGAAUCCAUCCCAGAGUAA